GAAAUUAAUAGAUGGGAUGGUGGACAGCGGAAGGGAUAAUGAUGCAGCGGCGGCGUGACUAAUGUGAACAGAACUCGAAACUCUAAAGGAACUAGACACUAAGACCAGCAACUGACACGACGAUGCAACCGAUAAUUCAACUAUGCAAGCAACGAAUAGAAAAAUUGCAAAGGCUCAGACUGGCUUGGAUAAAGGAUGAACAGAUCUAACUUUUUUUGUGGCUUUUUCAUGAACUAUAGGUAUGAAUGACAGAUGCGAUCUAAACUAUGAAAAACUGUAAAAUCUCACCGAGCAACCUGAAAACUGAUACCACUUGAUAGAGGCGGGGUGUCCCGAUCUUUCGAUGAGAUGAUAACUAUCGAUUUGGUGGAGACGACUUUGACAAUCCGACUACAAACAUGCACGGCGUUGCGCCUUAGCAAUCGCUAAACCAACUCCAAGAGGUUACUGACCACGCCGGAGCACAAUCAACCUGACCACGAAGGUCUAUUCCUGCAAGCAAUCGAAGAACGAGCAAGAAUAUGAUAAAGCAAUCUGAAUAUUGCGAAUAUAUAUGAAGUAUUGAUAAUGGUGGGGAUCCGUAAGCGGUCUUGGUCUGGUCGUUGGACACAAACGAAGUACACGAAGUUGCAAUGGCUAACUUUUAACUAAACAAAUCCCCAGCCAAAAAGCUACUAGAUGGAUCUACUUAUAUAGGAGCAAGGGGUGGCGGCCAAGGAGGUGGGAGGACGUCCCAAGGCAGCCUAAAACUAAAUCUAGGUCGUACAAGGCCAAUGGGCCCAAGUGGAGGUGAUGUAACACCUUUGGACUUGUAGUUUGACUCGGAUUCUGCUGCAGCAUCAGAUUGUUUCGUCCACAACUCAACGCUCCGGACGAAUUUGAAGGUGAUUCCAAUUGGGUUGGAAAGUGCACGAAAUCUAGUUUCCAACAAAAAAAGAAUCACCCAAUUUGGAGUCCGUAUGAAAAACUUGUGUGUGUUUUGAGUCAGGUGUGUCUGUGCAGUCCGAAUCUGAAUCCAGAACGUGAGAGACUUGGACUCUAUCUUCUCUUGGGCCAAAAGUGACGUGAGAGAACUUUUUGGACAGCAAAUAAACAUCUCUUUCUUCCUUAUCUUCAUAUGUGGAUUGUACAAAUGUCCCAUACACCUGCAAUUAGACAAAACACAAAAGUGUGUGAAGUAUUUUUGUUCUGGAUAACAUAAAUAGAUUAUUGAAUAGUUUGCACUAGAAAUCACCUGACAAAUAUGCAUAUAUGCAAUAUUUUUUGUCAUAUCCAAGGUAGUCAUGUCCUCAUCAAUCGCGAAAUUACACGCUUUGCCGACUUGGUGUCCAUAGUACGAAAGUACUGUGCGAUGGAAAGCGCCUGGAAAACCGAAAUAAAAUUUUGGGAUAAUCCGACCCUGAAUACAAGCCCAGUCCGAAAUAAAAGGGUGCACUAUCACAAUACACCUGGGUUAACUACCAAAAAGCAAAAGCCCUCUACGGGGCAAGGAACCGUACUGGAGGGAUGGCUCAACGGACCAUGCAAAAUUCAUAGUACAGCGGAUGCGACACCAACGUACAGCCUUAGAGCAUGCUGGAUAUUCCGGCAGGUGGCCAAAAGUGGUGAGGAUCUACUCCUCCCAAAAACCACAGAGCACCACCCCGAGGACAACAAUACGGUCUUAACGGUCUUUGAGACCUUCACGUCAAAUAAUAGACGGAAGCGAACACUUCGCAGCACAUCCGAAAUCUGCCACAUAGCAGAAACAAAUCCUUGGAACGACACGGCUAUUACCUUCAAUGCCAGUGACGAACCUAAAUUCCGAACAGCCCGAGUACAAGCCGCACUGGUCCUCAGUCCAAUCGUGGACGGCUUUCGACUCACCAAGGUACUCAUGGACGGCGGCAGCGGAUUAAACCUCAUUUAUGAGGAAACUAUUCAAAAGAUGGAAAUAGACUGGAGCCGCAUUAAGCAAAGCAGCACAACUUUAGAGGAAUCAUCCCCAGUCAGGAAGCGCGCUGCGUUGGAAAAAUCACACUAGAUGUGGUGUUUGGCACGCCGGAUAAUUACAGGUCCGAAGAAAUUACAUUCCAAGUGGCCCCGUUCAGCAGCGGAUACCACGCUCUAUUAGGGCGGGAGGCGUUUACAAUCUUCCAAGCCAUACCCCAUUACGGGUACAUGAAGCUCAAAAUGCCUGGGCCCAACGGAAUCAUCACUCUUGUUAGUGAUCCGGACAUAGCACUCGGCGCCGAAAAUAAGACAGCUGCACUGGCCCUUGAGGCACUAUCCGAAGUCCUAGCGGCCGAAGAACUAACUGCGCUGCGCUCCACGGUGAACAAGGAUGACGUGAUACUCGAUAAAAGAUCCAAGUCCACCUCCUUUAAACUGGUGGACGAAAUAGUCAAAUUCCAAGUCCAUCCAACGGACCCUACAAAAACGGCUUCCAUCGGGACACAAUUAAACCCUGAUGUCGACACCGCACUGCGAGAAUUCCUACGCGAGAACUGGGACAUUUUUGCCUGGCACCCUUCAAACAUGCCAGGAAUCCCACGCAGGCUGGCCGAACACAGCCUGAAUAUCCUAAAAGGAUUCAAGCCAGUCAAACAGGCUCUUUGACGUUUCUCCGAGCCUAAAAGACAAGCCAUGGGAGAGGAACUAGCCAAGCUAUUGGAGCCGGAUUCAUCAGAGAUAUAAAACAUCCUGACUGACUAGCAAACCUGGUGAUGGUACCAAAGAAGGACAAAUCCUGGCGCUUGUGCGUCGAUUUUAAGGACCUCAAUAAGGCCUGCCCAAAGGAUCCCUUCCCCCUCCCCCGCAUCGAUCAAAUCAUCGAUGCUACCGCAGGACAUGACUCGUUGUGUUUCCUCAACGCAUACUCCGGCUACCAUAAAAUCAAAAUGGCAGAGCCAGACCAAGCCGCAACGGUAUUCAUCACACCAUACGGCCCAUUCUGCUUCAACACAAUGCCCUUCGGGCUAAAAAACGUCGGUGCAACAUAUCAGCGCAUGAUUCAGACAUGCCUGGCAAACCAGAUCGGCAAAACAGUGGAGGCAUACGUGGAUGACGUGGUCGUUAAAACCAAGCAUGUCGAAACUCUAGUAGAUGACUUGAGGCUCACAUUCGACAACCUCCGAACAUAUGACAUCAAGCUCAAUCCGGAAAAAUGCGUUUUUGGCGUACCAGCAGAAAAGCUCCUGGGAUUCAUUGCCUCUAGUAGAGGUAUUGAAGCCAAUCCGGCCAAAAUUCGAGCGUUAUCACAGUUGGCUACCCCAACAGACCUUAAACAAACACAAAAAUUAACUGGAUGUGAUGAGGACAUCAAUACCAUUGUUACACCCACAGCCCCUACUGCUACAUAUACGGGACCAAUUACUAGAGCUCGCGCACGCCAAUUAAAUUAUCAGGUACUUUCGUUUCUUGGUAAUGAUUCUAAUGUUCAUGAGAAUAUGAUGCUGCCUAAAUUGGAUACAUUUGUUUUGCUUACAAAUGAAGGGCCUAGCUUGGAGAAGGAUGAACAUUGGAGCAAGAACAAGCAUGGAGAUGAUGCCAUGCGCAAGGGGAACAAGAACGGAGUUACAAGUGAUGAUUUCAGGACUUUGAAGCCACCAUAAUGGGUGCAUGAAGCCUUGGACGAAAUAUACAAGAUGCCACUUCAUAAAUUUCGUCCCGAGGCUAUUAUAGGUGCUGCGUCACCUUUUUAUUGGGCCAGGCCCAUGUAAUUUCGAAAUACAUAAGUAUAGACUAUUUUUAGAGUCCGUAUGUGUGGGGAAACAAGAGAUAGGGUUGAUUUCGGACCCCUCCACCAAGGGCCACGAAAUUCCCCUCUCUUCCUCCAUAUAUACAACCCUUAGGGCACCGUUUAGAUUUUGGGUUUUUGUUUAGAUUAAAAGUUCGCCAUAGCUGCAACUUCGCGUACUUCGUUUGUGUUCAACGACCAGACAAAGGCGUCACAGAACCCCACCUUGAUCAAUAAAGCUUUCAUCUUAUAUUCGCAAUAUCCAGAUUGCAAUCUUAGUUUCUUGCUUGUUCUUCGUUUGCUCGCAGGAAACAGACCCUCGUGGUCAGGUUGAUCGUGCUCCGGCGUGGUCAAUAACCUCUCGGAGUUGGUUUAGCGAUUGCUAAGGCGCGACGUCCUCGCACGUUCGUAGUCGGAUCGUCAAAGUCGACUGCCACCAAAGCGAUAUCCAUCAUCUCAUCGAAAGACGGGACACCUUUGCCUUUAUCAGGAUGCGUGGCGGCUCUAAGCCGCUUUAUCUCCCGCCUGGGAGAAAAGGCAUUACCCCUUUAUCGCCUCCUCUGGUGCACCGAACACUUCGAGAGGACGGACGCCUCCACGGCCGGACUCAAUGAAAUAAAGGCCAUAUUAGCAACAAACCCAGUCCUGGCCGCGCCAAACAUUGGCGAACCAAUGCUAUUAUACAUUGCGGCAACUCAUCAAGUAGUAAGCGCAGUGCUUGUCAUUGAGCGAGAAGUGGACGGACACAAAUUUCCCCUUCAAAAGCCGGUUUACUACGUGUCCACUGUCCUUACUCCAUGCAAAUCAUGGUACCUGCAUUAUCAAAAGAUAGUGUACGCGAUAUUCAUGGCAUCCCGGAAGCUGCGACACUACUUUCAAGAGUGUUUGAUAACGGUGGCCUCGGAAGUACCACUUAACGAUAUUAUAAACAACCGCGACGCGACGGGCCGGAUUGCCAAAUGGGCCAUUGAGCACCUCCCGUUCCACAUAACUUACAAGCCACGAUGAGCUAUUAAAUCGCAAGUUUUGGCUGACUUCGUCACUGAAUGGACGGAAGCCGAACUCCCCAAAGAGUACGACACAUAUUCAAACUGGAUCAUGCACUUCGACGGCUCCAAAAUGUUGGCUGGUCUGGGGGCUGGCGUCGUUUUGACAUCCCCAACAGGAGACACCAUUCAAUACGUAUUACAGAUAAUGUAUACGGACUCCAACAACGCAGCCGAAUAUGAGGCCCUUCUACAUGGUCUCCGGAUGGCAGUAUCCAUGGGCAUUCAACGCCUAGAGGUGCGCGGGGAUUCAAACCUCGCGAUAUCCCAAAUAAAUGGAGACUUUGAUGCCAAGGAUCCAAAAAUGGCCGCUUAACGCAAUGCCAUCCUAAAAAUGUCAGCUUGGUUCGAAGGGCUCAAAUUUCACCAUGUGGCCCGGGAAAACAAUCAGGCGGCGGAUAUCCUCGCCCGCAUUGGCGCCAAACGCAACGCGGUCCCUCCCAACAUUUUUUUGGAAAGGCUUUUCAAGCCAUCCGUAUCAUGGGAAGGGGACACCGGUAACAACAGUCCAGACCUGGCCAAAAUACCCGAUACCGAACUCUCUGACACAAUCGGAGGCUCUGCCACCGAAAUAACACAAUCAGCCCACGAAAUAAUGGCCAUUAUUGCCCCGUGGACAGAACCAUUUCUGGCCUACUUAACUAGACAGGAACUCCCGGAGGACCAAAAUGAGGCACGCUGCAUAGUGUGGCGAUCAAAGGCCUACAGGGUCCACGAGGGAGAAUUGUACAAAAAAAGCACUACCGGAGUCCUUCAACGGUGCAUCUCCGAAGAGGAAGGAUGGAACCUUUUGGCAGAAAUUCAUGCCGGACUCGGCGGUCAUCACGCUGCAGCCCGAGCUCUUGUGAGCAAGGCCUUCUGUACAUGAUUCUAUUGGCCAACGGCCCGGGCAGACGCACAGGACUUAGUCCAGCGUUGCGCCGGUUGCCAGCUCUUUGCAAAUCAAAGCCAUAUGCCACCCACCGCCCUCCGAACAAUCCCCAUUACAUGGCCCUUUGCGGUCUGGGGGCUUGACAUGGAUGGACCCCUUAAAGGUGGAACCCACAAGAAAAAAUACUUAUUGGUCAUGGUGGAUAAAUUCACCAAAUGGAUAGAGGCCAAACCGGUUAAAACAGCCGAAUCCGGACUGGUUAUAGAUUUCAUAUCUGGGGUUGUGCAUCGCUAUGGCGUCCCCCACAGCAUCAUCACCGACAACGGCACGAACUUCACAGCCGACGAGGUAAAACUCUGGUGCAGCAAAAUGGGCAUCAAGCUCGAUUAUGCUUCAGUUUACCACCCACAAACCAACGGUCAAGUAGAACGAGCAAACGGUCUUAUAAUGAGCGGCAUUAAACCCAGACUAGUGCGAUCCUUAACAGAGUCUGACACGCACUAGGUAGAGGAGCUCGACUCCGUACUCUAGGGGCUGCGGACCAUGCCGAAUCGUAGUACUAGAUACACACCAUUUUUCAUGGUGUACGGCGCAGAGGUAGUCUUGCCCUGUGAAAUAAUUCAUGACUCACCUCGAGUGUGCAUGUACGAAGAAAGAGAAGCCGAGCUCGAUCGGCAGGACAGUCUAGACACCUUGGAGGAAGAGCGCAACGUAGCCAAAGCCCGUUCCGCAUUUUACCAGCAAUAGGCUCGCAGAUACCAAAACAGAGAAGUACGAGCCAAAACUUAUAACAUUGGCGAACUAGUUCUCCGGCUGCCGGAUAAGAAAAAGAACAAGCUAGAGCCCAAAUGGGAAGGUCCCUUCAUCAUCGAUCAAGUUCUGACCGGCGGAGCGUACCGACUGCGGGAUGCAUCGACUAGUCUACUCGAGUCGAACCCAUGGAACGCAGCCAGGCUCUGAAGAUUCUACGCCUAGCACCGGACUUUAUGUUAGUCCCCUUCCUUUGUCCAUUUUCUACAUAUGCGUCUUCUGUCUUGUUUCCCUUUCUUUCUUUUAUUCCUCUAGGCCUUCAAAGGUCACCUUGUGCCUCACUUGUACAUAACAGAUGUGCUAGCCGCACUCUCUACACCUGGGGGCUUCUUUCACAGAAGCUUAAAUUAUUUACCUAGGCGUCACGCCCAACACAUGCGUUAUACUUCCGCAUGUACCUUUUUUCACCAUUAUAUGCAUCGAUAUGACUUAAGUUUUGGCCAAGCUGGGUUGCCUAGCUCUUGUAUUUAUGCCCUAUGUUCCCGUUAAUUCGGCUAGGGCAUAAGGGGAGCACCUCUGCGAUUGUUACCGCCGGGUCAGCCGGACGUGUACCUCAGACUGGGUGAAGCCAAAAGCUAGCGUUCUUAAGAGAAUAUUCGGUCGGUGAAAAAAAGAUGACUUUUAUUUAUUAUCAAUAUCUGCCCCCAGAUGUUUUUUCUGCGCCUCUUGUCGCAGGCCGGACAUGGUGAUAGAGGCCAAGGUGUCCUGUCUUUCGAUGAGAUGAUGGAUAUCGCUUUGGUGGAAGUCGACUUUGACGAUCUGACUACGAACGUGCGAGGACGUCGCGCCUUAGCAAUCGCUAAACCAACUCCGAGAGGUUAUUGACCACGCCGGAGCAUGAUCAACCUGACCACGAGGGUCUGUUUCCUACGAGGAAACGAAGAAAAAGCAAGAAACUAAGAUUGCAAUCUGGAUAUUGCGAAUAUAAGAUGAAAGCUUUAUUGAUCAAGGUGGGGUUCUGUGUCGCCUUUGUCUGGUCGUUGAACACAAACGAAGUACGCGAAGUUGCAGCUAUGGUGAACUUUUAAUCUAAACAAAACCCCAAAGUCUAAACGGUGCCCUAAGGGCUGUAUAUAUGGAGGAAGAGAGGGGGAAUUUCGUGGCCCUUGGUGGAGGGGUCCGAAAUCAACCCUAUCUCUUGUUUCCCCACACAUACGGACUCUAAAAAUAGCCUAUACUUAUGUAUUUCGAAAUUACAUGGGCCUGGCCCAAUAAAAAGGUGACGCAGCACCUAUAAUAGCCUCGGGACGAAAUUUAUGAAGUGGCAUCUUGUAUAUUUCGUCCAUGGCUUCAUGCACCCAUUAUGGUGGCUUCAAAGUCCUGAAAUCAUCACUUGUAACUCCGUUCUUGUUCCCCUUGCGCAUGGCAUCAUCUCCAUGCUUGUUCUUGCUCCAAUGUUCAUCCUUCUCCAAGCUAGGCCCUUCAUUUGUAAGCAAAACAAAUGUAUCCAAUUUAGGCAGCAUCAUAUUCUCAUGAACAUUAGAAUCAUUAUCAAGAAACGGAAGUACCUGAUAAUUUAAUUGGCGUGCGCGAGCUCUAGUAAUUGGUCCCGUAUAUGUAGCAGUAGGGGCUGUGGGUGUAACAAUGGUAUUGAUGUCCUCAUCAUCCUCCCCUUCUUGAAAUGAAGUCAUCCUCGACGGAAACUCAUCUUCCUCACCCAAAUAAGGCUUCAAAUCUGCAAUGUUAAAAGUGGGACUAACCCCAAAAUCUGCAGGCAGCUCAAGUUUAUACGCAUUAUCAUUUAUUUUCUCUAACACCUUAAAGGGACCAUCAGCACGUGGCAUUAGCUUUGAUUUGCGCAAAUCAGGAAAUCUAUCCUUACGCAAAUGUAACCAAACAAGAUCUCCAGGUGCAAACACAACAUGUUUUCUACCCUUAUCUCCAGCAAGUUUAUAUUUAGCAUUCAUACGCUCAAUGUUUUCCUUAGUUAACUCAUGCAUUUUUAAAAUCAAUUCAGCACGUUGUUUAGCAUCAAAAUUAACCUUCUCCGAAGAUGGAAGAGGCAACAAAUCAAUAGGUGCACGAGGUAGGAAACCAUACACAACUUCAAAAGGGCACAUCUUAGUAGUAGAAUGCAAUGAACGAUUAUAAGCAAAUUCAAUAUGAGGCAAGCAUUCCUCCCACAUUUUCUUAUUAUUCUUCAAAACAGCCCUAAGCAUAGUAGACAACCUUCUAUUGACUACUUCAGUUUGUCCAUCAGUUUGGGGGUGACAAGUAGUACUAAAAAGCAGUUUAGUCCCCAACUUAGCCCAUAAACAUCUCCAAAAGUGGCUAAGAAAUUUAGUAUCACGAUCUGAAACAAUAGUAUUUGGCACACCAUGCAAGCGAAUAAUUUCACGAAAGAACAAAUCAGCAACAUUAACAGCAUCAUCGCUUUUAUGACAUGGUAUAAAGUGUGCCAUUUUCGAGAAUCUAUCCACGACAACAAAUAUGCUAUCCCUCCCCUUCUUUGUUCGAGGUAAACCUAAAACAAAGUCCAUAGAUAUAUCCUCCCAAGGAACACUAGGUACAGGCAAAGGCAUAUAUAAACCAUGAGGAUUGAGUCGUGACAGCUUUUUGACAUGUAGUGCAUCGAGCAAUAAAAUGCUCAACAUCCCGUCUCAUCUUUGGCCAAAAGAAAUGUGUAGCAAGUACGUCCUCCGUCUUCUUCACGCCAAAGUGUCCCAUUAAUCCUCCUCCAUGCGCCUCCUGCAACAACAAAAGACGAACGGAGCUAGCUGGAAUGCAUAGCUUGUUAGCACGAAACACAAAUCCAUCGUUAACGACAAACUUGUUCCACAUUCUUCCUUCUUUACAAUUCUGCAUUACAUCUUUAAAAUCAGCAUCAUGCACAUAUUGAUCUUUGAUGGUCUCCAAACCAAAUAUUUUGAAGUCAAGUUGUGAAAGCAUAGUAUAGCGACGAGACAAUGCAUCAGCAAUAACAUUUUCUUUUCCCUUCUUGUGUUUAAUGACAUAAGGGAAAGUCUCAAUGAAUUCAACCCAUUUAGCAUGUCUACGAUUCAGUUUAGCUUGACUUUUAAUAUGUUUCAAAGAUUCAUGAUCAGAAUGAAUAACAAAUUCUUUGGGCCAUAAAUAAUGUUGCCAUGUUUCUAAAGUCCGAACAAGAGCAUAUAAUUCUUUAUCAUAAGUAGAAUAAUUCAGACUAGGCCCACUCAAUUUUUCAGAAAAGUAUGCAACAGGUUUGCCAUCUUGUAAUAACACACCUCCUAAUCCAAUUCCACUAGCAUCACAUUCAAGCUCAAAAGUCUUAUUAAAAUCAGGAAGUUGGAGUAAAGGAGCAUGUGUCAACGUAUCUUUCAAUACCGUGAAGGCUUCUUCCUGUGCGGUACCCCAAACAAAAGGCACAUCCUUCUUUGUAAGCUCGUUGAGAGGUGCAGCAAUGGUGCUGAAAUCUCUCACAAAACGCCUAUAGAAUCCAGCGAGGCCAAGAAAACUCCUCACUUGUGUGACCGUUUUGGGCUGCGGCCAACUCUCAAUAGCUUCAAUCUUGGCUUUGUCAACUUCAAUUCCCUGUGGAGUAACAACAUAGCCAAGAAUAGAUACUCGGUCGGUGCAAAAAGUGCACUUCCCAAGGUUACCAAACAAACGUGCAUCACAUAGAGCAAUAAAAACAGCACGUAAAUGUUCCAAAUGUUCUUCCAAAGAUCUGCUAUAAAUCAGUAUGUCAUCAAAGUAAACUACCACAAAUCGUCCAAUGAAAGCACGUAAAACUUCGUUCAUUAAUCUCAUGAAAGUACUAGGUGCAUUAGUUAACCCAAAAGGCAUGACUAACCACUCAUAUAAUCCAAACUUAGUUUUAAAUGCUGUUUUCCAUUCAUCUCCCAAUUUCAUACGAAUUUGAUGGUAGCCACUACGCAAAUCAACUUUGGAGAAUAUUGUAGAGCCACUCAAUUCAUCAAGCAUAUCAUCUAGCCUAGGAAUAGGAUGACGAUAACGAAUAUUAAUAUUAUUAAUGCCUCUACAAUCAACACACAUACGUGAUGUACCAUCCUUUUUCGGCACUAGAAUAAUAGGAACAGCACAAGGACUAAGGGAUUCGCGUAUAUAACCUUUGUCGAGAAGCUCUUGUACUUGGCGCAUAAUCUCCUUCGUCUCCUCUGGAUUGGUACGGUAUGGUGCACGGUUUGGCAGUGAAGCACCGGGAAUUAAGUCAAUCUGAUGCUCAAUCCCUCGAAUAGGCGGUAAUCCCGGUGGCACGUCUUGUGGAAAGACGUCAGCGAACUCCUGCAAAAUGUUAGUGACAGCAGGCAAAUGUAACCAAACAAGAUCUCCAGGUGCAAACACAACAUGUUUUCUACCCUUAUCUCCAGCAAGUUUAUAUUUAGCAUUCAUGCGCUCAAUGUUUUCCUUAGUUAACUCAUGCAUUUUUAAAAUCAAUUCAGCACGUUGUUUAGCAUCAAAAUUAACCUUCUCCGAAGAUGGAAGAGGCAACAAAUCAAUAGGUGCACGAGGUAGGAAACCAUACACAACUUCAAAAGGGCACAUCUUAGUAGUAGAAUGCAAUGAACGAUUAUAAGCAAAUUCAAUAUGAGGCAAGCAUUCCUCCCACAUUUUCUUAUUAUUCUUCAAAACAGCCCUAAGCAUAGUAGACAACGUUCUAUUGACUACUUCAGUUUGUCCAUCAGUUUGGGGGUGACAAGUAGUACUAAAAAGCAGUUUAGUCCCCAACUUAGCCCAAAAACAUCUCCAAAAGUGGCUAAGAAAUUUAGUAUCACGAUCUGAAACAAUAGUAUUUGGCACACCAUGCAAGCGAAUAAUUUCACGAAAGAACAAAUCAGCAACAUUAACAGCAUCAUCGCUUUUAUGACAUGGUAUAAAGUGUGCCAUUUUCGAGAAUCUAUCCACGACAACAAAUAUGCUAUCCCUCCCCUUCUUUGUUCGAGGUAAACCUAAAACAAAGUCCAUAGAUAUAUCCUCCCAAGGAACACUAGGUACAGGCAAAGGCAUAUAUAAACCAUGAGGAUUGAGUCGUGACUUAGCUUUUUGACAUGUAGUGCAGCGAGCAAUAAAACGCUCAACAUCCCGUCUCAUCUUUGGCCAAAAGAAAUGUGUAGCAAGUACGUCCUCCGUCUUCCUCACGCCAAAGUGUCCCAUUAAUCCUCCUCCAUGCGCCUCCUACAACAACAAAAGACGAACGGAGCUAGCUGGAAUGCAUAGCUUGUUAGCACGAAACACAAAUCCAUCAUUAACGACGAACUUGUUCCACAUUCUUCCUUCUUUACAAUUCUGCAUUACAUCUUUAAAAUCAGCAUCAUGCACAUAUUGAUCUUUGAUGGUCUCCAAACCAAAUAUUUUGAAGUCAAGUUGUGAAAGCAUAGUAUAGCGGCGAGACAAUGCAUCAGCAAUAACAUUUUCUUUUCCCUUCUUGUGUUUAAUGACAUAAGGAAAAGUCUCAAUGAAUUCAACCCAUUUAGCAUGUCUACGAUUCAGUUUAGCUUGACUUUUAAUAUGUUUCAAAGAUUCAUGAUCAGAAUGUAUAACAAAUUCUUUGGGCCAUAAAUAAUGUUGCCAUGUUUCUAAAGUCCGAACAAGAGCAUAUAAUUCUUUAUCAUAAGUAGAAUAAUUCAGACUAGGCCCACUCAAUUUUUCAGAAAAGUAUGCAACAGGUUUGCCAUCUUGUAAUAACACACCUGAUGAGGACAUCAAUACCAUUGUUACACCUCCUAAUCCAAUUCCACUAGCAUCACAUUCAAGCUCAAAAGUCUUAUUAAAAUCAGAAAGUUGGAGUAAAGGAGCAUGUGUCAACUUAUCUUUCAACACCGAGAAGGCUUCUUCCUGUGCGGUACCCCAAAGAAAAGGCACUUCUUUCUUUGUAAGCUCAUUGAGAGGUGCAGCAAUGGUGCUGAAAUCUCUCACAAAACGCCUAUAGAAUCCAGCGAGGCCAAGAAAACUCCUCACUUGUGUGACCGUUUUGGGUUGCGGCCAACUCUCAAUAGCUUCAAUCUUGGCUUUAUCAACUUCAAUUCCCUGUGGAGUAACAACAUAGCCAAGAAAAGAUACUCGGUCGGUGCAAAAGGUGCACUUCCCAAGGUUACCAAACAAACGUGCAUCACGUAGAGCAAUAAAAACAGCACGUAAAUGUUCCAAAUGUUCUUCCAAAGAUCUGCUAUAAAUCACUAUGUCAUCAAAGUAAACUACCACAAAUCGUCCAAUGAAAGCACGUAAAACUUCGUUCAUUAAUCUCAUGAAAGUACUAGGUGCAUUAGUUAACCCAAAAGGCAUGACUAACCACUCAUAUAAUCCAAACUUAGUUUUGAAUGUUGUUUUCCAUUCAUCUCCCAAUUUCAUACGAAUUUGAUGGUAUCCACUACGCAAAUCAACUUUGGAGAAUAUUGUAGAGCCACUCAAUUCAUCAAGCAUAUCAUCUAGCCUAGGAAUAGGAUGACAAUAACGAAUAGUAAUAUUAUUAAUGCCUCUACAAUCAACACACAUACGUGAUGUACCAUCCUUUUUCGGCACUAGAAUAAUAGGAACAACACAAGGACUAAGGGAUUCGCGUAUAUAACCUUUGUCGAGAAGCUCUUGUACUUGACGCAUAAUCUCCUUCGUCUCCUCUGGAUUGGUACGGUAUGGUGCACGGUUUGGCAGUGAAGCACCGGGAAUUAAGUCAAUCUGAUGCUCAAUCCCUCGAAUAGGCGGUAAUCCCGGUGGCACGUCUUGUGGAAAGACGUCAGCGAACUCCUGCAAAAUGUUAGUGACAGCAGGAGGCAAAGAGGAAGGCACGUCCUCGAAUGAAAAUAAUGCCUCUUUGAACACAAAAGCAUAGCAAACAGAUUUGCUGAAAUCUAGCUCAUCAAUAUCAGAUUUGGUGGCAAAUAAACAUGCACUUUUCAAUUUAAUUUCAGAAGCAACACUAGAUGGUUUAUUAUUAGGCUUCAUUUGUUGCUCAAAUUCUUUUGCCACAAUCUGAUUUUCACUCUUAUUCGUCUCCUGUUUUGCUUUAUUAGCUCUAUUAAUAUCAUCUUUCAAAAUGGAAUCAGGAGUCAUAGGAAGCAAAGUAAUAUUUUUAUCCUUAUGAACAAGAGUAUAGUGAUUGUUUCUACCAUGGUGUACAGAAUUUUUAUCAAAUUGCCAUGGUCUACCAAGUAAUAAGGAACAUGCUUGCAUAGGUGAUAGAGGCAAAGGUGUCUCGUCUUUCGAUGAGAUGGUGGAUUUCGCUUUGGUGGAAGUCGACUUUGACGAUCCGACUACGAACGUGCGAGGACGUCGCGCCUUAGCAAUCGCUAAACCAACUCCGAGAGGUUAUUGACCACGCCGGAGCACGAUCAACCUGACCACGAAGGUCUGUUUCCUGCGAGCAAACGAAGAACAAGCAAGAAACUAAGAUUGCAAUCUGGAUAUUGCGAAUAUAAGAUGAAAACUUUAUUGAUCAAGGUGGGGUUCUGUGACGCCUUUGUCUGGUCGUUGAACACAAACGAAGUACGCGAAGUUGCAGCUAUGGCGAACUUUUAAUCUAAACAAAACCCAAAGUCUAAACGAUGCCCUAAGGGCUGUAUAUAUGGAGGAAGAGGGGGGAAUUUCGUGGCCCUUGGUGGAGGGGUCCGAAAUCAAUCCUAUCUCUUGUUUCCCCACACAUACGGACUCUAGAAAUAGCCUAUACUUAUGUAUUUCGAAAUUACAUGGGCCUGGCCCAAUAAUAAGGUGACGCAACACCUAAAAUAGCCUCGGGACGAAAUUUAUGAAGUGGCAUCUUGUAUAUUUCGUCCAAGGCUUCAUGCACCCAUUAUGGUGGCUUCAAAGUCCUGAAAUCAUCACUUGUAACUCCGUUCUUGUUCCCCUUGCGCAUGCCAUCAUCUCCAUGCUUGUUCUUGCUCCAAUGUUCAUCCUUCUCCAAGCUAGGCCCUUCAUUUGUAAGCAAAACAAAUGUAUCCAAUUUAGGCAGCAUCAUAUUCUCAUGAACAUUAGAAUCAUUACCAAGAAACGAAAGUACCUGGUAAUUUAGUUGGCGUGCACGAGCUCUAGUAAUUGGUCCAGUAUGUAUAGCAGCAGGGGCUGUGGGUGUAACAAUUGUAUUGAUGUCCUCAUCAUCCUCCCCUUCUUGAAAUGAAGUCGUCCUCGACGGAAGUCCAUCUUCCUCAUCCAAAUAAGGCUUCGAAUCUGCAAUGUUAAAAGUGGGACUAACCCCAAAAUCUGCAGGCAGCUCAAGUUUAUAUGCAUUAUCAUUUAUUUUCUCUAACACCUUAAAGGGACCAUCAGCACGUGGCAUUAGCUUUGAUUUGCGCAAAUCAGGAAAUCUAUCCUUACGCAAAUGUAACCAAACAAGAUCUCCAGGUGCAAACACAACAUGUUUUCUACCCUUAUCUCCAGCAAGUUUAUAUUUAGCAUUCAUACGCUCAAUGUUUUCCUUAGUUAACUCAUGCAUUUUUAAAAUCAAUUCAGCACGUUGUUUAGCAUCAAAAUUAACCUUCUCCGAAGAUGGAAGAGGCAACAAAUCAAUAGGUGCACGAGGUAGGAAACCAUACACAACUUCAAAAGGGCACAUCUUAGUAGUAGAAUGCAAUGAACGAUUAUAAGCAAAUUCAAUAUGAGGCAAGCAUUCCUCCCACAUUUUCUAUUGACUACUUCAGUUUGUCCAUCAGUUUGGGGGUGACAAGUAGUACUAAAAAGCAGUUUAGUCCCCAACUUAGCCCAUAAACAUCUCCAAAAGUGGCUAAGAAAUUUAGUAUCACGAUCUGAAACAAUAGUAUUUGGCACACCAUGCAAGCGAAUAAUUUCACGAAAGAACAAAUCAGCAACAUUAACAGCAUCAUCGCUUUUAUGACAUGGUAUAAAGUGUGCCAUUUUCGAGAAUCUAUCCACGACAACAAAUAUGCUAUCCCUCCCCUUCUUUGUUCGAGGUAAACCUAAAACAAAGUCCAUAGAUAUAUCCUCCCAAGGAACACUAGGUACAGGCAAAGGCAUAUAUAAACCAUGAGGAUUGAGUCGUGACUUAGCUUUUUGACAUGUAGUGCAUCGAGCAAUAAAACGCUCAACAUCCCGUCUCAUCUUUGGCCAAAAGAAAUGUGUAGCAAGUACGUCCUCCGUCUUCUUCAGGCCAAAAUGUCCCAUUAAUCCUCCUCCAUGCGCUUCCUGCAACAACAAAAGACGAACGGAGCUAGCUGGAAUGCAUAGCUUGUUAGCACGAAACACAAAUCCAUCGUUAACGACAAACUUGUUCCACAUUCUUCCUUCUUUACAAUUCUGCAUUACAUCUUUAAAAUCAGCAUCAUGCACAUAUUGAUCUUUGAUGGUCUCCAAACCAAAUAUUUUGAAGUCAAGUUGUGAAAGCAUAGUAUAGCGACGAGACAAUGCAUCAGCAAUAACAUUUUCUUUUCCCUUCUUGUGUUUAAUGACAUAAGGGAAAGUCUCAAUGAAUUCAACCCAUUUAGCAUGUCUACGAUUCAGUUUAGCUUGACUUUUAAUAUGUUUCAAAGAUUCAUGAUCAGAAUGUAUAACAAAUUCUUUGGCCAUAAAUAAUGUUGCCAUGUUUCUAAAGUCCGAACAAGAGCAUAUAAUUCUUUAUCAUAAGUAGAAUAAUUCAGACAAGGCCCACUCAAUUUUUCAGAAAAGUAUGCAACAGGUUUGCCAUCUUGUAAUAACACACCUCCUAAUCCAAUUCCACUAGCAUCACAUUCAAGCUCAAAAGUCUUAUUAAAAUCAGGAAGUUGGAGUAAAGGAGCAUGUGUCAACUUAUCUUUCAAUACCGUGAAGGCUUCUUCCUGUGCGGUACCCCAAACAAAAGGCACAUCCUUCUUCGUAAGCUCGUUGAGAGGUGCAGCAAUGGUGCUGAAAUCUCUCACAAAACGCCUAUAGAAUCCAGCGAGGCCAAGAAAACUCCUCACUUGUGUGACCGUUUUGGGCUGCGGCCAACUCUCAAUAGCUUCAAUCUUGGCUUUGUCAACUUCAAUUCCCUGUGGAGUAACAACAUAGCCAAGAAAAGAUACUCGGUCGGUGCAAAAGGUGCACUUCCCAAGGUUACCAAACAAACGUGCAUCACGUAGAGCAAUAAAAACAGCACGUAAAUGUUCCAAAUGUUCUUCCAAAGAUCUGCUAUAAAUCAGUAUGUCAUCAAAGUAAACUACCACAAAUCGUCCAAUGAAAGCACGUAAAACUUCGUUCAUUAAUCUCAUGAAAGUACUAGGUGCAUUAGUUAACCCAAAAGGCAUGACUAACCACUCAUAUAAUCCAAACUUAGUUUUAAAUGCUGUUUUCCAUUCAUCUCCCAAUUUCAUACGAAUUUGAUGGUAGCCACUAUGCAAAUCAACUUUGGAGAAUAUUGUAGAGCCACUCAAUUCAUCAAGCAUAUCAUCUAGCCUAGGAAUAGGAUGACGAUAAUGAAUAGUAAUAUUAUUAAUGCCUCUACAAUCAACACACAUACGUGAUGUACCAUCCUUUUUCGGCACUAGAAUAAUAGGAACAGCACAAGGACUAAGGGAUUCGCGUAUAUAACCUUUGUCGAGAAGCUCUUGUACUUGGCGCAUAAUCUCCUUCGUCUCCUCUGGAUUGGUACGGUAUGGUGCACGGUUUGGCAGUGAAGCACCGGGAAUUAAGUCAAUCUGAUGCUCAAUCCCUCGAAUAGGCGGUAAUCCCGGUGGCACGUCUUGUGGAAAGACGUCAGCGAACUCCUGCAAAAUGUUAGUGACAGCAGGAGGCAAAGAGGAAGGCACGUCCUCGAAUGAAAAUAAUGCCUCUUUGCACACAAAAGCAUAGCAAACAGAUUUGCUGAAAUCUAGCUCAUCAAUAUCAGAUUUGCUGGCAAAUAAACAUGCACUUUUCAAUUUAAUUUCAGAAGCAACACUAGAUGGUUUAUUAUUAGGCUUCAUUUGUUGCUCAAAUUCUUUUGCCACAAUCUGAUUUUCACUCUUAUUCGUCUCCUGUUUUGCUUUAUUAGCUCUAUUAAUAUCAUCUUUCAAAAUGGAAUCAGGAGUCAUAGGAAGCAAAGUAAUAUUUUUAUCCUUAUGAACAAGAGUAUAGUGAUUGUUUCUACCAUGGUGUACAGAAUUUUUAUCAAAUUGCCAUGGUCUACCAAGUAAUAAGGAACAUGCUUGCAUAGGUACCACAUCACAAUCAACACAAUCAGCAUAUGUAGAUAUACUAAAAUGCACACGAACAGUACGUGUUACCUUAACCUUGCCGAUGUUGUUUAACCAUUGGAUGUAGUAAGGUUGUGGAUGUGGUCUUGUGGUGAGAGAAAGCUUCUCCACCAUCUCCAUGCUAGCCAAGUUGUUGCAGCUCCCUCCGUCUAUGAUGACGCGCACAGAACGUUCCUUCACAACUCCCUUGGUAUGGAACAAAUUGUGCCUCUGAUUUUGCUCAGCUUGUGUGAUCUACACACUCAAAACACGUUGAGCAACUAAACAUUCAUACCUGUCAGCGUCUUCAGGAGCCAUGUAUUGCGUCUCAUGAUCAGAAUCAUCUCCACCAUGUUCUUCACGUGUAAUAAGAGCCAAAGUCUCCUCAUCAUAGUCACUAGUAGACUCAUAUCCACCAUCCGCGGUAGCAAUCAUCACACACGGAGAUUUGCAUUCUCUCGCAUAAUGACCUCCUCCCUUACAACGACGACAAAUAAUAUCACUUGUGUGCCCUGUUGAUGCCAUGGAAGAAGAAGAACGCUGUGCAGGCCCCGCAGGUGCGCUCUUGGCAGAUAAUGGUGGUUGUGCCUAUUUUCUUGUAUCACGGUGAUGAGGACAUGACUACCUUGGAUAUGACCAAAAAUAUUGCAUAUAUGCAUAUUUGUCAGGUGAUUUCUAGUGCAAACUAUUCAAUAAUCUAUUUAUGUUAUCCAGAACAAAAAUACUUCACACACUUUUGUGUUUUGUCUAAUUGCAGGUGUAUGGGACAUUUGUACAAUCCACAUAUGAAGAUAAGGAAGAAAGAGAUGUUUAUUUGCUGUCCAAAAAGUUCUCUCACGUCACUUUUGGCCCAAGCGAAGAUAGAGUCCAAGUCUCUCACGUUCUGGAUUCAGAUUCGGACUGCACAGACAUACCUGACUCAAAACGCACACAAGUUUUUCAUACGGACUCCGAAUUGGGUGAUUCUUUUUUUGUUGGAAACUAGAUUUCAUGCACUUUCCAACCCAAUUGGAAUCACCUUCAAAUUCGUCCGGAGCGUUGAGUUGUGGACGAAACAAUCUGAUGCUGCAGCAGAAUCCGAGUCAAACUACAAGUCCAAAGGUGUUACAUCACCUCCACUUGGGCCCAUUGGCCUUGUACGACCUAGAUUUAGUUUUAGGCUGCCUUGGGACGUCCUCCCACCUCCUUGGCCGCCACCCCUUGCUCCUAUAUAAGUAGAUCCAUCUAGUAGCUUUUCCUUGGGAUUUGUUUAGUUAAAAGUUAGCCAUUGCAACUUCGUGUACUUCGUUUGUGUCCAACGACCAGACCAAGACCGCUUACGGAUCCCCACCAUUAUCAAUACCUCAUAUAUAUUUGCAAUAUUCAGAUUGCUUUAUCAUAUUCUUGCUCGUUCUUCGAUUGCUUGCAGGAAUAGACCUUCGUGGUCAGGCUGACCGUGCUUCCGGCAUCGUCAGUAACCUCAGGAGAUUGGUUUAGCGAUUGCUAAGGCGCAACAUCGUGCACGUUUGUAGUCGGAUCGUUAAAGUCGUCUCCACCAAAUCGAUAGUUAUCAUCUCAUCGAAAGAUCGGGACACCCUCGCCUCUAUCAAGUGGUAUCAGUUUUCAGGUUGCUCGGUGAGAAUUUCCAGUUUUCCUAGAUUAGAUUUACUUUCUUACCUAUUGUCCAAGAAAAAGCCACAAAAAAGAGUUAGAUCUAUUCAUCCUUGGUCCAAGCCAGUCUGAGCCGUUGCAAUUUUCUUUUCAUUGAUUGCAUAGUUGAAUUAUCGAUUGCAUCGUCGUGUCGAGUUGCUGGUCUUAGUGUCUAGUUCAUUUAGAGUUUCGAGUUCUGUUCACAUUAGUCACGCCACCGCUGCAUCAUUAUCUCUUCCGCUGUCCACCACCCAUCCAUCAAUUUCCACCACGUGCUACCCACCAUUCAUUGUCAUAAUAAUAGUUGAGAUCGUUCACAUCUUCACUUGAUCCAAUCUGCAUCUUAUCUAGUUUGUUUUGGAAAGAGGGAGAAAAAAGAGAGAAAAAAACGAGAGAAAAAAAAAGGAAAAAAAGUCAGAGAAAAAAAAAGGAGAGAAAGAAAAAAAAGUGUGAGGAAAAAAAAGAGAGAAGAAAAAAAAACAAAAAAAUCGGCACAAACUUUUUCAGAGGAAAGUUGGAGACAAAGUUGUUGAUAUAUCCUGCUUGGCUGUUGUUUCACCUCAUUAUCUUCACUACUGUUGUGAUCUUCACUUAUAUCUUGCUGUCAAGAGCUACUUAGUAUCCUUCAUUGAUGCUAGUUGUGCUACGCCGUGACCUCAUUAGUGUUCUAGGCUCGCGUCUCUAGUCCGGUCUAGCCUAGGACCAGCACAGUACCGUCGUUGAGCGUUUAUUCAACAUUGCAUCUUUGAAUUGAUUAUUGCUAAUCUUUUGCUACCAUAUAUAGCCAACCCAGCUCCACAUAUUUCUACACCGUGUAUACGUACGCUCCCCUGGCAAUCGCUUUACUCAAUAUUCGGAGUUACUUGACACCGCUGGUUGCCGAUCACCGCCUGCUGCAUGGUAAGAACUUGUAAGACAUUGAUAUUUGCUUUACUGUGAGCGUUUUACCACCACAUCCUAGUAGUUAUAGGAACAUUAUUUUUGGGUUUUGUUUCUUGUUCUACUAAUCAUGACAGGAUACAGAGUCAAUUCAUGGGCUUUGUCGAUCGCGGGAGACGUGCCACCACCUUUGCAAAUACCACAACCGUCACGAGAGGUGCACAAACAUCCAAAUGCACAUGAUCAGGUUAAUGUAUCUAUACCACCAUUUAAUGGCCGUUUUAAACCUGCUUUAUAUAUUGAAUGGGAGUUCGACAUAAAAAAUAUAUUUGCUUCCCAUAAUUUCGAUGAACAUAAAAAGGUUAAGGUUGCGGUUGGUUCUUUCACUGGUUAUGCUUUGGUUUGGUGGAGUGAAUAUUGUCGGUUACACCCUGAUUAUAUACCUACUACUUGGGAUGAUUUGAAACUUGCCAUGCGACAUACUUUUGUCCCUGCUUAUUAUACUCGUGACAUGAUUAAGAAGUUGCAACACUUAAAACAAGGUAGUGAAACUGUAACAAAAUAUUAUGAUGAUUUACAAACUACCUUGUUGCAUUCCUCUUUAGAAGAAAGUGAAGAUGAUUUUAUGGAUAGAUUUUGGGGAGGAUUAAGCCGUGAUAUUCAAGAGAUACUAAUUCAUGAAGAGUGUUAUCCUAUGGACCAUUUGUUUCAUCUUGCUUGCAAAGCUGAACAGGAAAUAAAACGACAUGUUAGCCACGAGGAGAACAAGCGCACGGUGCACAUUCCAAGAGUUGAUAUGAUUGUUCCUUCAACUACUAGGCAUACUAUGACAACCACAUCCGUUGUUGUCAGGACUACAUCACCUCCACCAUGUGACACAUCGCCCCCGAGAGUGGCUACAUCAUCUGAGUUGAUCAUAAGAGGUAAUGACAAAGGUACUGAUCUUCCAUCUCUACAUGAGAAUGAUGAAUGCCUUGUCAAUUUGAAUGCACCAUCUGAUGAGCUACCCACUACUUUGAUCACACCACCUAUUUUAGAGGACUACGUUGAUAAUUUGACUUUGCCAUGUGAUCAAACAACUGAAAUACCAACAAUUUUGAGUGCACCCAUUGAAUUAACUAUUAAUGCAAAAGAACCAAUGUUUAAUCAUUUUGAUAUGACCUCUAAUCUUGGUGAUGAUUCUGUGUUAAAUGACUUAUUGCAUGUUUGCUUAUUUAAGCAUGUUGUAGCAUGUAAAUUUGAUGCAAGUAAGGUUUAUUCACCAAUGUUGGGAUGGUUUAAUGAUGAACAUUGUCAAUCUUUUGAAAUGAAUAAGAGCUUCACUUAUAUGUGCAAACUGAGUUGCAAUAUUUUCAUGCCUUCUACUUCUUGUGCUAAUUUUUUGGCUUUAGAUUUUAUGAACUAUGCAAGUUACUCAUCUAUUCAUGUGUCAUAUAUGCAAAAAUCAAGGGAAGUAAAAAUGGAUGACAUAUACAUAUACAACAUGUACACCUUGUCUCUUUUGUUAGCCACAUUUCAGAUUAAGCAACGCCGAGGACGGCUUUAUUUUCAAGAAGGUGGGGAUGAUGAGGACAUGACUACCUUGGAUAUGACCAAAAAUAUUGCAUAUAUGCAUAUUUGUCAGGUGAUUUCUAGUGCAAACUAUUCAAUAAUCUAUUUAUGUUAUCCAGAACAAAAAUACUUCACACACUUUUGUGUUUUGUCUAAUUGCAGGUGUAUGGGACAUUUGUACAAUCCACAUAUGAAGAUAAGGAAGAAAGAGAUGUUUAUUUGCUGUCCAAAAAGUUCUCUCACGUCACUUUUGGCCCAAGCGAAGAUAGAGUCCAAGUCUCUCACGUUCUGGAUUCAGAUUCGGACUGCACAGACAUACCUGACUCAAAACGCACACAAGUUUUUCAUACGGACUCCGAAUUGGGUGAUUCUUUUUUUGUUGGAAACUAGAUUUCGUGCACUUUCCAACCCAAUUAGAAUCACCUUCAAAUUCGUCCGGAGCGUUGAGUUGUGGACGAAACAAUCUGAUGCUGCAGCAGAAUCCGAGUCAAACUACAAGUCCAAAGGUGUUACAUCACCUCCACUUGGGCCCAUUGGCCUUGUACGACCUAGAUUUAGUUUUAGGCUGCCUUGGGACGUCCUCCCACCUCCUUGGCCGCCACCCCUUGCUCCUAUAUAAGUAGAUCCAUCUAGUAGCUUUUCCUUGGGAUUUGUUUAGUUAAAAGUUAGCCAUUGCAACUUCGUGUACUUCGUUUGUGUCCAACGACCAGACCAAGACCGCUUACGGAUCCCCACCAUUAUCAAUAUCUCAUAUAUAUUUGCAAUAUUCAGAUUGCUUUUUCAUAUUCUUGCUCGUUCUUCGAUUGCUUGCAGGAAUAGACCUUCGUGGUCAGGCUGACCGUGCUUCCGGCAUCGUCAGUAACCUCAUGAGAUUGGUUUAGCGAUUGCUAAGGCGCAACAUCGUGCACGUUUGUAGUCGGAUCGUUAAAGUCGUCUCCACCAAAUCGAUAGUUAUCAUCUCAUCGAAAGAUCGGGACACCCUCGCCUCUAUCAAGUGGUAUCAGUUUUCAGGUUGCUCGGUGAGAAUUUCCAGUUUUCCUAGAUUAGAUUUACUUUCUUACCUAUUGUCCAAGAAAAAGCCACAAAAAAGAGUUAGAUCUAUUCAUCCUUGGUCCAAGCCAGUCUGAGCCGUUGCAAUUUUCUUUUCAUUGAUUGCAUAGUUGAAUUAUCGAUUGCAUCGUCGUGUCGAGUUGCUGGUCUUAGUGUCGAGUUCAUUUAGAGUUUCGAGUUCUGUUCACAUUAGUCAUGCCACCGCUGCAUCAUUAUCUCUUCCGCUGUCCACCACCCAUCCAUCAAUUUCCACCACGUGCUACCCACCAUUCAUUGUCAUAAUAAUAGUUGAGAUCGUUCACAUCUUCACUUGAUCCAAUCUGCAUCUUAUCUAGUUUGUUUUGGAAAGAGGGAGAAAAAAGAGAGAAAAAAACGAGAGAGAAAAAAAGGAAAAAAAGUCAGAGAAAAAAAAAGGAGAGAAAGAAAAAAAAGUGUGAGGAAAAAAAGAGAGAAGAAAAAAAAACAAAAAAAUCGGCACAAACUUUUUCAGAGGAAAGUUGGAGACAAAGUUGUUGAUAUAUCCUGCUUGGCUGUUGUUUCACCUCAUUAUCUUCACUACUGUUGUGAUCUUCACUUAUAUCUUGCUGUCAAGAGCUACUUAGUAUCCUUCAUUGAUGCUAGUUGUGCUACGCCGUGACCUCAUUAGUGUUCUAGGCUCGCGUCUCUAGUCCGGUCUAGCCUAGGACCAGCACAGUACCGUCGUUGAGCGUUUAUUCAACAUUGCAUCUUUGAAUUGAUUAUUGCUAAUCUUUUGCUACCAUAUAUAGCCAACCCAGCUCCACAUAUUUCUACACCGUGUAUACGUACGCUCCCCUGUCAAUCGCUUUACUCAAUAUUCGGAGUUACUUGACACCGCUGGUUGCCGAUCACCGCCUGCUGCAUGGUAAGAACUUGUAAGACAUUGAUAUUUGCUUUACUGUGAGCGUUUUACCACCACAUCCUAGUAGUUAUAGGAACAUUAUUUUUGGGUUUUGUUUCUUGUUCUACUAAUCAUGACAGGAUCCAGAGUCAAUUCAUGGGCUUUGUCGAUCGCGGGAGACGUGCCACCACCUUUGCAAAUACCACAACCGUCACGAGAGGUGCACAAACAUCCAAGUGCACAUGAUCAGGUUAAUGUAUCUGUACCACCAUUUAAUGGCCGUUUUAAACCUGCUUUAUAUAUUGAAUGGGAGUUCGACAUAAAAAAUAUAUUUGCUUCCCAUAAUUUCGAUGAACAUAAAAAGGUUAAGGUUGCGGUUGGUUCUUUCACUGGUUAUGCUUUGGUUUGGUGGAGUGAAUAUUGUCGGUUACACCCUGAUUAUAUACCUACUACUUGGGAUGAUUUGAAACUUGCCAUGCGACAUACUUUCGUCCCUGCUUAUUAUACUCGUGACAUUAUUAAGAAGUUGCAACACUUAAAACAAGGUAGUGAAACUGUAACAAAAUAUUAUGAUGAUUUACAAACUACCUUGUUGCAUUCCUCUUUAGAAGAAAGUGAAGAUGAUUUUAUGGAUAGAUUUUGGGGAGGAUUAAACCGUGAUAUUCAAGAGAUACUAAUUCAUGAAGAGUGUUAUUCUAUGGACCAUUUGUUUCAUCUUGCUUGCAAAGCUGAACAGGAAAUAAAACGACGUGUUGGCCAUGAGGAGAACAAGCGCACGGUGCACAUUCCAAGAGUUGAUAUGAUUGUUCCUUCAACUACUAGGCAUACUAUGACAACCACAUCCGUUGUUGUCAGGACUACAUCACCUCCACCAUGUGACACAUCGCCCCCGAGAGUGGCUACAUCAUCUGAGUUGAUCAUAAGAGGUAAUGACAAAGGUACUGAUCUUCCAUCUCUACAUGAGAAUGAUGAAUGCCUUGUCAAUUUGAAUGCACCAUCUGAUGAGCUACCCACUACUUUGAUCACACCACCUAUUUUAGAGGACUACGUUGAUAAUUUGACUUUGCCAUGUGAUCAAACAACUGAAAUACCAACAAUUUUGAGUGCACCCAUUGAAUUAACUAUUAAUGCAAAAGAACCAAUGUUUAAUCAUUUUGAUAUGACCUCUAAUCUUGGUGAUGAUUCUGUGUUAAAUGACUUAUUGCAUGUUUGCUUAUUUAAGCAUGUUGUAGCAUGUAAAUUUGAUGCAAGUAAGGUUUAUUCACCAAUGUUGGGAUGGUUUAAUGAUGAACAUUGUCAAUCUUUUGAAAUGAAUAAGAGCUUCACUUAUAUGUGCAAACUGAGUUGCAAUAUUUUCAUGCCUUCUACUUCUUGUGCUAAUUUUUUGGCUUUAGAUUUUAUGAACUAUGCAAGUUACUCAUCUAUUCAUGUGUCAUAUAUGCAAAAAUCAAGGGAAGUAAAAAUGGAUGACAUAUACAUAUACAACAUGUAGACCCUGUCUCUUUUGUUAGCCACAUUUCAGAUUAAGCAACGCCGAGGACGGCUUUAUUUCAUCACCUACGCCAUGUGACACACCGCCCCCGAGAGUGGCUACAUCAUCUGAGUUGAUCAUAAGAGGUAAUGACAAAGGUACUGAUCUUCCAUCUCUACAUGAGAAUGAUGAAUGCCUUGUCAAUUUGAAUGCACCAUCUGAUGAGCUACCCACUACUUUGAUCACACCACCUAUUUUAGAGGACUACGUUGAUAAUUUGACUUUGCCAUGUGAUCAAACAACUGAAAUACCAACAAUUUUGAGUGCACCCAUUGAAUUAAUUAUUGAUGCAAAAGAACCAAUGUUUAAUCAUUUUGAUAUGACCUCUAAUCUUGGUGAUGAUUCUGUGUUGAAUGACUUAUUGCAUGUUUGCUUAUUUAAGCAUGUUGUAGCAUGUAAAUUUGAUGCAAGUAAGGUUUAUUCACCAAUGUUGGGAUGGUUUAAUGAUGAACAUUGUCAAUCUUUUGAAAUGAAUAAGAGCUUCACUUAUAUGUGCAAACUGAGUUGCAAUAUUUUCAUGCCUUCUACUUCUUGUGCUAAUUUUUUGGCUUUAGAUUUUAUGAAGUAUGCAAGUUACUCAUCUAUUCAUGUGUCAUAUAUGCAAAAAUCAAGGGAAGUAAAAAUGGAUGACAUAUACAUAUACAACAUGUACACCUUGUCUCUUUUGUUAGCCACAUUUCAGAUUAAGCAACGCCGAGGACGGCUUUAUUUUCAAGAAGGGGAGGAUGAUGAGGACAUGACUACCUUGGAUAUGACCAAAAAUAUUGCAUAUAUGCAUAUUUGUCAGGUGAUUUCUAGUGCAAACUAUUCAAUAAUCUAUUUAUGUUAUCCAGAACAAAAAUACUUCACACACUUUUGUGUUUUGUCUAAUUGCAGGUGUAUGGGACAUUUGUACAAUCCACAUAUGAAGAUAAGGAAGAAAGAGAUGUUUAUUUGCUGUCCAAAAAGUUCUCUCACGUCACUUUUGGCCCAAGAGAAGAUAGAGUCCAAGUCUCUCACGUUCUGGAUUCAGAUUCGGACUGCACAGACACACCUGACUCAAAACGCACACAAGUUUUUCAUACGGGCUCCGAAUUGGGUGAUUCUUUUUUUGUUGGAAACUAGAUUUCGUGCACUUUCCAACCCAAUUGGAAUAACCUUCAAAUUCGUCCGGAGCGUUGAGUUGUGGAUGAAACAAUUUGAUGCUGCAGCAGAAUCCGAGUCAAACUACAAGUCCAAAGGUGUUACAUCACCUCCACUUGGGCCCAUUGGCCUUGUACGACCUAGAUUUAGUUUUAGGCUGCCUUGGGACGUCCUCCCACCUCCUUGGCCGCCACCCCUUGCUCCUAUAUAAGUAGAUCCAUCUAGUAGCUUUUCCUUGGGAUUUGUUUAGUUAAAAGUUAGCCAUUGCAACUUCGUGUACUUCGUUUGCGUCCAACGACCAGACCAAGACCGCUUACGGAUCCCCACCAUUAUCAAUACCUCAUAUAUAUUUGCAAUAUUCAGAUUGCUUUAUCAUAUUCUUGCUCGUUCUUCGAUUGCUUGCAGGAAUAGACCUUCGUGGUCAGGCUGACCGUGCUUUCGGCAUCGUCAGUAACCUCAGGAGAUUGGUUUAGCGAUUGCUAAGGCGCAACGUCGUGCUCAUUUGUAGUCGGAUCGUCAAAGUCAUCUCCACCAAAUCGAUAGUUAUCAUCUCAUCGAAAGAUCGGGACACCCCGCCUCUAUCAGCUUCAUUCUCCUCAACAAUACCACAUCGAAUCAUGCCAGUUUGUAAUUCCUGAUAAUAUUCUUCUACAGAAUUUUUCCCUUGUCUUAAACGCUGCAAUUUUUGAAGCAAUUCACGUUGAUAAUAUGGUGGAACCCAACGCGUACGCAUAGCAGUUUUCAAAGCAGCCCAAGUAGUUGGAAUAGGAUAUAAUCUACAAUGUUCAGACCACCAUACACAUGCAAAACUAGUGAAAGCACAAACAGCAGCAGCAACUCGUCUCUCCUCAGGAUAUUGUAAACAUGUAAAUCGUUGUUCAGUUUCUAACUCCCAAGUAAGAUAUAUAUCAGGAACAUAUCUACCCUCAAAUGGUGGAAUAUUCAAUUUCAGUUUAGGAAUAUGGACAUCAUCGCGUACCUGAGGUGGUGGUGCAGGCCUACCAUUACGAAUAUAUACCUGAGGUCGACCUGCUGGUGGUGGUACAGGUGGCUGCACGUAGUGUUGAUUUUGAUCAACCUCAUCCUCAUAAUCUCCCACAUAAUCAUCAUCCUCCACAUCAGCAGCAGGAGCCACAGAAGUAUCAACAGCAGCACCAACAGUUUGGCCAAACGCAAGAGGAACACGGCUUGCUCGGCGGAGGUCUGCUUCGCGACGUGGAGGUAGUCGUUGUUGUUGUUGUUGGAGAGGUGCGUUAGGUGCAGCGGGUGGUGGUGGUGGAAGACGCGCGAGCAAUUCAUUAAACUUGUUAUCGAGCUUUGUUUCGAACGUCUUCUCAAGGCCAGUGAUCUUCUCCAUGGCCUCUUCAAAAUUGUUCAGCACAUCUUGCACCUGUUCAGUCAUCAUUUGCUGAAACUUAUCAUGAAGCUCCUUGUUCGAUAAAUUCUCCCAGUCAAUCUCGUCGGCUUGUGAUCCUGGCAUGGUUAGCAGCAAUAGAAACACACAAGAAUAUGAUCCUACAGACUACGAACAAGUGGUGGUGGUGGUUGUCACAAAUCCGUCAAGCAAAACUCAAAUUCUUACCAGUUCUUACCCAGCAACAGGCGGUGAUCGGCAACCGUUGUAGUCAAAACUCUCAAAGCUUGGAUAGAGCGAUUACCAGGGAGAGUCAAACGCACGACGUAGAUGUAUGUGGAGCUGGGAAGGCUUAUAAUAUGGUAGCAAAAAGGGUCAGCAAUAAUCAAUUCAGAGAUGCAAAGUUGAAUAAACGCUCAACGACGGUACUGUGCUGGUCCUAGGCUAGACUGUGCUAGAGACGCGAGCCUAGAACACCAACAAAAUCACGGCGCGGCACGUAAACAAGGGAGGAGCACACUUUGAAUUUUUUUUCUCUUUUUUUUGCACUUUUUUUUCCUCUUUUUUUUUUGCUCCGCAACAAAUUUUUUUCGAAAAAGUCUACAAAUGGUCUAAAAACUGCCUAGCCAGAAUUUUCCAGACUUAGUUUUUUUUUUGAAAUUGGAACUAUUUUUCUUCUGCAGAUGGCUCGGAAGUUGGGGAGUCCUUCUCUGUCACGACUCGGAGUGUCGCGUGAUCUGGAAAUCAAGAACAAUGCAACAAUUACUGGAGUCGGACUAGGACUGGUGGCGGAGAUGAAUCUGGUGGAACUCGGACUGGUGGCGGAGAUGAAUCUGGUGGAACACGGACAGGUGGCGGAUAUAUGUUGCAGGUGAACUCGGAUUGGCGUGAUGGCGGCGGAUAUGUGGUGGCGUAUAUGGAUUCGGAUUGGCGGUGAAUAUGUGGUGGUGGUAUAUGGCAACAGCGACGAUGAUGAUGCGGUGGUGAUAUAUGGCAGCGGCGACGUGACAACCUGUGAACAGAACUCGAAACUCUAAAAGACUAGACGCUAAGACCAGCAACUGGACACGACGAUGCAACCGCAAAUUCAACAAAGCAAAUACAGAAAAGAUUAUGCAAGGCUCAGAUUGGUUCGAAUGGGAUGAACUAACCCUAAUUUUUUUUGGCUUUUUCGUGGACUAUAGGUAUGAAGAACAGACUCGAUCUAAACUACGAAAAAGUGUAAAAUCUCACCGAGCAACCUGGAAAUCUGAUACCACUUGAUAGAGGCCAAGGUGUCCCGUCUUUCGAUGAGAUGAUGGAUAUCGCUUUGGUGGAAGUCGACUUUGACGAUCCGACUACGAACGUGCGAGGACGUCGCGCCUUAGCAAUCGCUAAACCAACUCCGAGAGGUUAUUGACCACGCCGGAGCACGAUCAACCUGACCACGAGGGUCUGUUUCCUGCGAGGAAACGAAGAACAAGCAAGAAACUAAGAUUGCAAUCUGGAUAUUGCGAAUUAAGAUGAAAGCUUUAUUGAUCAAGGUGGGGUUCUGUGUCGCCUUUGUCUGGUCGUUGAACACAAACGAAGUACGCGAAGUUGCACCUAUGGCGAACUUUUAAUCUAAACAAAACCCCAAAGUCUAAACGGUGCCCUAAGGGCUGUAUAUAUGGAGGAAGAGAGGGGGAAUUUCGUGGCCCUUGGUGGAGGGGUCCGAAAUCAACCCUAUCUCUUGUUUCCCCACACAUACGGACUCUAAAAAUAGCCUAUACUUAUGUAUUUCGAAAUUACAUGGGCCUGGCCCAAUAAAAAGGUGACGCAGCACCUAUAAUAGCCUCGGGACGAAAUUUAUGAAGUGGCAUCUUGUAUAUUUCGUCCAUGGCUUCAUGCACCCAUUAUGGUGGCUUCAAAGUCCUGAAAUCAUCACUUGUAACUCCGUUCUUGUUCCCCUUGCGCAUGGCAUCAUCUCCAUGCUUGUUCUUGCUCCAAUGUUCAUCCUUCUCCAAGCUAGGCCCUUCAUUUGUAAGCAAAACAAAUGUAUCCAAUUUAGGCAGCAUCAUAUUCUCAUGAACAUUAGAAUCAUUACCAAGAAACGAAAGUACCUGAUAAUUUAAUUGGCGUGCGCGAGCUCUAGUAAUUGGUCCCGUAUAUGUAGCAGUAGGGGCUGUGGGUGUAACAAUGGUAUUGAUGUCCUCAUCACAUGCACUUUAGGGCAUGCCUACACAGGGAAAGGAACCCUUAAUGGAACUAUUCUCUCUGAAGAUGUUUCUUACUACCCAUGUAAUAUAACAUAACUAGUUGGGCACUUGUCUGAUAAAGCACUAAUGACCCCUACGCCUGGUCUCCAUGCAUGCCCCGGUUCUUACAUAACCGCGAGGGUAUUCGGAUGCACUCUGGACCAUCGGGUCCCGAGGUUGAAGCGAAAAGGUCCGCCAUGACAAACGAUCUACAAUCCAGCUAGAAGGCAUCAUACAUGUCACUUUAAAAUUACAUAGUCAAUUUGACUGGUUGAAUUCCUCCUCAAUGCCAUCUAAUAGGUUGUCUAGUCUACAGUCCUGUUGGGAAUACUUUGCGGCAGAUUCUACUUGGUCAUACACUAAAUUCACAGGGAUCUCCUUGCCGUCAGGCCCCACAGGUCCGACUUCGGCCAUGUGGUUCCGUCAGCCUUCAUGUACCGUGUCUUCACCAUUGUCCAAGCCUCCCUGGCGCCCUGACGGCAGGCCGAUAUCUUCUAUAAUCGGAAACGCCGUCGUGCUCCCUUCGGCUUUUCUGCAAGCUCUCCAAGGCCUUCGGGCAUGGAGACGGACGGCCACAAGGCCUGGGCAAUGCCUUGCAUCACCUACCGAACUCGUUUGUGCAACUGUGCGAGCUCGGGAAGAAGAUCACCCGUCGAACUAGGCAUCUCCUCGGCAGGACGUCCUGUUAGCAUACCUACAGACAUAACUCUGUCAGCCAGCUUCCUCGCCGAACUCUUUUUCAAAAGUUCGUUCAAGCACUUACUAAAUAUGCCGCGUCGAAGCCGCCGAUUCUCCUUAACAGAGUCCGACAUUUGGGCACGGACAUCUUUUACUUCCACGCCCAGCUUGGUGUUGGCAUCUUGAAGAUCAUUCUUCUCCUGCCUCACCCUCAUUAGCACGCUCUCACCAGCCUUUAGCUGGCGUUUGAGCUGCUGCUUAUCCGGAUUCACUCCAGCGUCAUCUGCAAUUUUAUCGUCAGAUUUGAAUAUAAAGCCACACUCUAAUAUGAUACUUAUCAUUUGACGGAUAUGUUACCAGCGGGGGCCUCUUUGGGCUCCCCUACGGCGGACAAUGCGGCCUAAAGUUGGGCUUUGCACUCUUCCAGCUCCUGGGCCAGUUGAGUAUUCUUUUUUGUAAGAACCUACAUAACAAAUGAUCCUUAAAUCAGUUAUCCUAACUGUUUCAAGUCUCAGGGGCUACUAAUAUAUAUAAUCAUCAAAUUUUCUCACCUGUAUGUGUUUUACAUAUUGCUCCGUGGCUCUGGCUAAACCAUUUUGAGCGGCACGGAGGUGCGCAUCUCCCGAGUUGAAGGCAUCCAAAGCCUCUUGGGAGAAACAAGCGUCAUGAAGAACAGUCCGGUGACGCCUAUGGUUCAUAGCACUUUCCACCUCGGAAUGGGUGGCGGACAGUCUAUCUGUUUCCUCUGUCGGAGGAGCACCCGGUGCACGCCUUGUACUCGUUCCCACCCCCGAGUCCGGCCUUGGAGCCUGGCUUGUGGAGGCGCGGUUGGUAGCCUCUCCGGGUAUAGUCCGGCGAGCGCUCUUUCUCUUGAAAAGAAGGCCUGGGCGUUAAUAUGCCUCUGUAAAUAAUGUCUUGCGAUAAAGAUGGCGCGCUAUACCGCUGCGCCGGUGCCUCAAUCCGGACUGCGGAACUUUUCAGCUUGCCUGGCCCAGCGGCCCCUUGUUGGCUAGUUGCCACAGGCUCGGCCUUCUGCCCCGAGGGCCUCCCCUGCAAAACACGACUGUUAUACGGCAAUAAAAAAGAGCACAAGGACGGAUCCCUUGUUAUAUGCUGGGACUUCGGUCUCAGUCACCUGUGAGGCUGGAACUAGCCCGGGGUAAUCGGCUAUAAUGGCCACCAAGGUAUUAUCAUUACUCCCUUGGUAAAAUACCCGGUCAAUCAGCUCCACGGAUAUGUCCGGAUCCUCCUGGGAGGCCGGAUCAAGGGAUCUUCCAGGGUCCUCGGGCUGUGGAGGAGGGCUGGUUAUCUCCUUUACUUCCUGGCGCAGCUCCUGCGAUGAAAUCGCUAGAAUAAAUACUUAAACUACAGGAAUACAAAACGGAUGGGCGAGAACAAAUCUCCGCUUACCCAGCUUGGAGGAUUGUACAUGGAGAAUCCGCCCUACGGGUUGACACGGAGGAACUCCUCCUCUUCUCCCUUGUACAAAGUGGACAAGAUCUUUGUCAAGUCCGCAGUCGAUCCCGGCCCUUUUCGGCCAUGGCGGAUGGCUCAUCCUCCCCAUUGAAGUCCUUCAUGGGGUGGCCUCUAUACUUGAGCGGCUGCACCCCCCGCAUAAUGCAUAUAGCCAUAACCUCGAUCAUGGUCAAUCCGGAUCGAGCUAAAGAGCUUAUCCGGCUUGUCAGAUAAAGAAUGUCCCGGACGUCUUCCUCCAGAGGGCUUCGUGGAUGCCAGCUCUGGCGCUUCUUCAAAGGGGCGUUGUCAAACUCAGGAAGGCCGAUCCGAAUAGGGUCCAGAAGGGGGGACAUCUUCUAUAUAAAACCAUUCUGAAGGCCGGUCUUCGGACAUCUUCUUCGGGGUCCCGGAUAGGUAUCCGGUCCUAGCAAUAUGCCACACUUCGGCUCCACCCACUUGAUAUAUUGAUCCCUUCUUAGAACGGGGCACAAGGCAGAACAGCUUCCACAAGGCGAAAUGAGCCUCACAGCCCAAAAAUAACUCGCAAAUGGCUACGAAUCCCACGAUAUGCAGCAUGGAGGCAGGCAUAAGGUUGUGCAGAUGGAGGCUGAUGAGGACAUGACUACCUUGGAUAUGACCAAAAAUAUUGCAUAUAUGCAUAUUUUUCAGGUGAUUUCUAGUGCAAACUAUUCAAUAAUCUAUUUAUGUUAUCCAGAACAAAAAUACUUCACACACUUUUGUGUUUUGUCUAAUUGCAGGUGUAUGGGACAUUUGUACAAUCCACAUAUGAAGAUAAGGAAGAAAGAGAUGUUUAUUUGCUGUCCAAAAAGUUCUCUCACGUCACUUUUGGCCCAAGAGAAGAUAGAGUCCAAGUCUCUCACGUUCUGGAUUCAGAUUCGGACUGCACAGACAUACCUGACUCAAAACGCACACAAGUUUUUCAUACGGACUCCGAAUUGGGUGAUUCUUUUUUUGUUGGAAACUAGAUUUCGUGCACUUUCCAACCCAAUUGGAAUCACCUUCAAAUUCAUCCGGAGCAUUGAGUUGUGGACGAAACAAUCUGAUGCUGCAGCAGAAUCCGAGUCAAACUACAAGUCCAAAGGUGUUACAUCACCUCCACUUGGGCCCAUUGGCCUUGUACGACCUAGAUUUAGUUUUAGGAUGCCUUGGGAUGUCCUCCCACCUCCUUGGCCACCACCCCUUGCUCCUAUAUAAGUAGAUCCAUCUAGUAGCUUUUUCCUUGGGAUUUGUUUAGUUAAAAGUUAGCCAUUGCAACUUCGUGUGCUUCGUUUGUGUCCAACGACCAGACCAAGACCACUUUUCGGAUCCCCACCAUUAUCAAUACUUCAUACAUAUUCGCGAUAUUCAGAUUGCUUUUAUCAUAUUCUUGCUUGUUCUUCGAUUGCUUGCAGGAAUAGACCUUCGUGGUCAGGCUGACCGUGCUUCGGCGUGGUCAAUAACCUCUCGGAGUUGGUUUAGCGAUUGCUAAGGCACAACGUCGUUGCACGUUUGUAGUCGGAUCGUCAAAGUCGUCUCCACCAAAUCGAUAGUUAUCAUCUCAUCGAAAGAUCGGGACACCCCGCCUCUAUCAAGUGGUAUCAGUUUUCAGGUUGCUCGAUGAGAAUUUCCAGUUUUCCUAGAUUAGAUUUAUUUUCUUACCUAUUGUCCAAGAAAAAGCCACACACAAAAAAGUUAGAUCUGUUCAUCCUUUAUCCAAGCCAGUCUGAGCCUUUGCAAUUUUCUAUUCAUUGCUUGCAUAGUUGAAUUAUCGGUUGCAUCGUCGUGUCAGUUGCUGGUCUUAGCGUCUAGUUCCUUCAGAGUUUCGAGUUCUGUUCACAUUAGUCACGCAGCCGCUGCAUCAUUAUCCCAUCCGCUGUCCACCAUCCCAUCCACCAAUUUCCACCACGUGCUACGCACCGUUCAUUGUCAUAAUCAUAGUUGAGGUCACUCACAUCUUCGCCUGAUCGAAUCUGCAUCUUAUCUAGUUUUCUUGGAAAGAGGGAGAGAGAAAAAAAAAGAAAAAGAAAAAAAAAGCGUGAGAAAAAAAAAAGAGAAUAAAAAAAAUUGGAUCUAUCUAGAAUCAUUCUCGUACCUGAAUUCGGAUUGGAAUCUGUUUUGCGCACUGUUCAGUAAAACAGGUGUAUCUUCCUCAUACGAAGUCCGUUUUGGCUCCGUGACUACUCAAAUUGAAGAUAGCGACGAGCCGCAUCUAAAUAGUUGCAGAAGCUAGUUCAAUAUUUGACACCUCAAAAUCGGCUUCUAAAUAGGUCUUUUUGCCCUCCGAAGUUCGUGAACACGGCUUGUUCCAAUUUUUCAGGGCAGUUUUAGAAUUCUUUGACUCCUCAUAUCAACUCGGAAUUGAGUGAUUCUUUUUGCAUUGGAAAGCUUGAGUUAGUAGAAUUCUUUGAAAGAAUUUAUCAGAAAAUUGUCUCAAACUUUUCAAGAGGAAAGUUGGAGAGAGAGUUGUUGUAUAUCCUGCUUGGCAGUUGUUUUUCAUCAUUAUCUUCACUGCCGUUGUGAUCUUCACUUAUAUCUUGCUGUCAAGAGCUACUUUGAUAGAGGCGGAGGUGUCCCGUCUUUCGAUGAGAUGAUGGAUUUCGCUUUGGUGGAAGUCGACUUUGACGAUCCGACUACGAACGUGCGAGGACAUCGCGCCUUAGCAAUCGCUAAACCAACUCCGAAAGGUUAUUGACCACGCCGGAGCACGAUCAACCUGACCACGAGGGUUUGUUUCCUGCGAGCAAACGAAGAACAAGCAAGAAACUGAGAUUGCAAUUUGGAUAUUGCGAAUAUAAGAUGAAAGCUUUAUUGAUCAAGGUGGGGUUCUGUGACGCCUUUGUCUGGUCGUUGAACACAAACGAAGUACGCGAAGUUGCAGCUAUGGCGAACUUUCAAUCUAAACAAAACCCCAAAAAUAAUGUUCCUAUAACUACUAGGAUGUGGUGGUAAAAUGCUCACAGUAAAGCAAAUAUCAAUGUCUUACAAGUUCUUACCAUGCAGCAGGCGGUGAUCGGCAACCAGCGGUGUCAAGUAACUCCGAAUAUUGAGUAAAGCAAUUGCCAGGCGAGCGUAUGUAUACACGGUGUAGAAAUAUGUGGAGCUGGGUUGGCUAUAUAUGGUAGCAAAAGAUUAGCAAUAAUCAAUUCAAAGAUGCAAUGUUGAAUAAACGCUCAACGACGGUACUGUGCUGGUCCUAGGCUAGACCGGACUAGAGACGCGAGCCUAGAACACUAAUGAGGUCACGGCGUAGCACAACUAGCAUCAAUGAAGGAUACUAAGUAGCUCUUGACAGCAAGAUAUAAGUGAAGAUCACAACGGCAGUGAAGAUAAUGAUGAAAAACAACUGCCAAGCAGGAUAUACAACAACUCUCUCUCCAACUUUCCUCUUGAAAAAUUUGAGACAAUUUUCUGAUAAAUUCUUUCAAAGAAUGCUACUAACUCAAGCUUUCCAAUGCAAAAAUAAUCACUCAAUUCCGAGUUGAUAUGAGGAGUCAAAGAAUUCUAAAACUGGCCUAAAAAAUUGGAACAAGCUGUGUUCACGAACUUCGGAGGGCAAAAAGACCUAUUUAGAAGCCGAUUUUGAGGUGUCAAAUAUUGAACGAGCUUCUGCAACUAUUUAGAUGCGGCUCGUCGCUAUCUUCAAUUUGAGUACUCACGGAGCCAAAACGGACUUCGUAUGAGGAAGAUACACCUGUUUUACUGAAUAGUGCGUAAAACAGAUUCCAAUCCGAAUUCAGGUACGAGAUUGAUUCUAGAUAGAUCCAAUUUUUUUUCUUCUCUCUUUUUUUUUCUCACGCUUUUUUUUCUUUUUCUUCUCCCUCUUUUUCUUUUUUUUUCUUUCCUUUUUUCUCUCUUUUUUUCUUUAUAUUCUUUUUCUCCCUCUUUCCAAGACAAACUAGAUAAGAUGCAGAUUCGAUCAGGCGAAGAUGUGAGUGACCUCAACUAUUAUUAUGACAAUGAAUGGUGGGUAGCACGUGGUGGAAAUUGAUGGAUGGGUGGUGGACAGCGGAAGAGAUAAUGAUGCAGCGGUGGCGUGACUAAUGUGAACAGAACUCGAAACUCUAAAUGAACUAGACACUAAGACCAGCAACUCAACACGACGAUGCAAUCGAUAAUUCAAUUAUGCAAUCAAUGAAAAGAAAAUUGCAAAGGCUCAGACUGGCUUGGACCAAGGAUGAAUAGAUCUAACUCUUUUUUGUGGCUUUUUCUUGGACAAUAGGUAAGAAAGUAAAUCUAAUCUAGGAAAACUGGAAAUUCUCACCGAGCAACCUGAAAACUAAUACCACUUGAUAGAGGCGGGGGUCCCGAUCUUUCGAUGCGAUGAUAACUAUCGAUUUGGUGAAGAUGACUUUGACGAUCCGACUACAAACG
rnacentral:lncRNA from 1 species